rnacentral:rRNA from 1 species
GGAGUGUGUAACAACUCACCUGCCGAAUGCACCAGCCCCGAAAAUGGACGAUGCUCAAACGAACCACCUAUAGCAUGCCAGCACCGUCGUGUACUUUCACAAGAAACGACUGCUGUGUAGGUAGGCGUGGGGCACGAGCCGAAGGCCUGAAUCGUGAGAUGGGCUGGAUCGUGCGCCUAGUGCAGAUCUUGGUUGUAGUAGCGAAUAUUCAAUUGAUGAACAUUGAAGGCUGAAGUGGAGAAGGUUUCCGUGUGAACAGUACUUGGACACGGGUCAGCCGGUCCUAACCCCAGAGGAAAGCCUCCCCAUGCAAAGGCGCAUGACAUCCGCCCCGUCGGGUCCUCCCGGCGGGACACGGGCUUGCGCAACGGGGGAAGGGGAAAUCGGCCCAAGAUUCCGAUGCCGUGGUCGUGGGGAGACGAAGCUGCGAAGCACUUUGCAAACAGACAAUGCCGGACGCAGUGUGAUCGGGCCCUGGGAGAGUUAUCUGUUCUCUUUGACUGCACGAGCGCGCGGAAUGACAUUUAACGUGCCGAGGCGCGCUUCCACCCGAGGGAAAGCAGUGCGCUUGACGUGCUGUUGGGUACCCCGGUCACGCUACGGUGAAGCUCCGGCGGCGGUCCCAUGCCCCGACGACUCGACCGUACCGAUAACCGCAUCCGGUCUCCAAGGUGAAUAGCCUCUGGUCAACGGAGUCCAUGUAACUAAGGGAAGUCGGCAAAAUAGAUGCGUAACUUCGGGAGAAGCAUUGGCUCCAAGGGUCGGAUGCCUGUGGCCUGGUGGCGCCUGCAGCUGCUGCGAGGUGGGUUGCCGGACUGCCUCUCGGGGUGGACUGACGACUGCCUUGCGGCGGCGGCGGGACCGUCCGCCAGUUUGCCGCGGGUAUUGCCAACGGCUAACUUGGAACUGUCGCUGAGAGGGGGAAUCUAACUGUUUAAUUGAAACAUAGCUUUCAGAAGCUCGUGGUCGGACGUGGGCUCAAAGUGAAUCCUGCCCAGUGCUCUGAAUGUUAAUGCAAAGAGAUUUUACCAAGCUCGGGUAAACGGCGGGAGUAACUAUGACUCUCUUAAGGUAGCCAAAUGCCUCGUCUUCUAAUUAAAGACGCGCAUGAAUGGACUAAUGAGAUUCCCACUGUCCCUAGUUACUGUCCGGCGAACCGACAGUCAAGGGAACGGGCUUGAAAUCUUCAGCGGGGAAAGAAGACCCUGUUGAGUUUGACUCUAAUCUGGCUUUGUGAAGUGACAUUCGAGGUGUAGGAUAGGUGGGAGGCGCAAGCCGCACGUGAAAUACCACUACUCGAAUCGUUGCUUUGCUCAUUGCAUUGAAUGGGAACGGCAGUCGCUGGCUUUGCCAGUGAGGCUCAACCUAGUUGAGUCGAGACUUUUCCGUUUCUUGUCGUAAACACGGGGUUCUCUUCGUGUGACCCAUUGAUGCAAGACAUUUGCCAGAUGGGGAGUUUGGCUGGGGCGGCAUAUCUGUGAAAAUCUAGCGCAGGUGUCCUAAGGCAGGCUCAGUGAGAACAGAAAUCUCACGUAGACGAUAAGGCGAAAAGCCUGCUUGAUUUCUCGGUCUUCAGUACUGACCCAGACUGUGAAAGCAAGGCCUAACGAUCCUUUGUACUCAUUGUGUUCAGAGUACGAAGUCAGAGGUGACAGAAAAAUUACCACAGGGAUAACUGGCUUGUGGCC